GACGUAGGGCGCGAGCGUUUGUCCGGAUUUAUUGGGCGUAAAGAGCUCGUAGGCGGCUUGUCGCGUCGACUGUGAAAACCCGCGGCUCAACCGCGGGCCUGCAGCCGAUACGGGCAGGCUAGAGUUCGGUAGGGGAGACUGGAAUUCCUGGUGUAGCGGUGAAAUGCGCAGAGUAUCAGGAGGAACACCGAUGGCGAAGGC
rnacentral:rRNA from 1 species